GAUGAACGCUGGCGGCGUGCCUAAUACAUGCCAGUCGAGCGAACAGAUGGGGAGCUUGCUCCUCUGACGUUAGCGGCGGACGGGUGAGUAACACGUGGAUAACCUACCUAUAAGACUGGGAUAACUUCGGGAAUCCGGAGCUAAUACCGGAUAAUAUAUUGAACCGCAUGGUUCAAUAGUGAAAGACGGUUUUGCUGUCACUUAUAGAUGGAUCCGCGCCGCAUUAGCUAGUUGGUAAGGUAACGGCUUACCAAGGCAACGAUGCGUAGCCGACCUGAGAGGGUGAUCGGCCACACUGGAACUGAGACACGGUCCAGACUCCUACGGGAGGCAGCAGUAGGGAAUCUUCCGCAAUGGGCGAAAGCCUGACGGAGCAACGCCGCGUGAGUGAUGAAGGUCUUCGGAUCGUAAAACUCUGUUAUUAGGGAAGAACAAAUGUGUAAGUAACUAUGCACGUCUUGACGGUACCUAAUCAGAAAGCCACGGCUAACUACGUG
rnacentral:rRNA from 1 species